rnacentral:rRNA from 1 species
GAUGAACGCUGGCGGCGUGCCUAAUACAUGCAAGUCGAGCGAACAGACGAGGAGCUUGCUCCUCUGACGUUAGCGGCGGACGGGUGAGUAACACGUGGAUAACCUACCUAUAAGACUGGGAUAACUUCGGGAAACCGGAGCUAAUACCGGAUAAUAUAUUGAACCGCAUGGUUCAAUAGUGGAAGACGGUUUUGCUGUCACUUAUAGAUGGAUCCGCGCCGCAUUAGCUAGUUGGUAAGGUAACGGCUUACCAAGGCGACGAUGCGUAGCCGACCUGAGAGGGUGAUCGGCCACACUGGAACUGAGACACGGUCCAGACUCCUACGGGAGGCAGCAGUAGGGAAUCUUCCGCAAUGGGCGAAAGCCUGACGGAGCAACGCCGCGUGAGUGAUGAAGGUCUUCGGAUCGUAAAACUCUGUUAUUAGGGAAGAACAAAUGUGUAAGUAACUAUGCACGUCUUGACGGUACCUAAUCAGAAAGCCACGGCUAACUACGUG